GACGAACGCUGGCGGCGUGCUUAACACAUGCAAGUCGAGCGGAGCGGAGAACGGGUGAGUAACGGGUGAGUAACUGCACCCCUCCCUGGGAUAACAGUUGGAAACGGCUGCUAAUACCGGAUAGUGGGGGAUGACUGGGGGCCUAUCAGCUUGUUGGUGGGGUGGUGGCCUACCAAGGCGACGACGGGUAGCCGGCCUGAGAGGGCGACCGGCCACAGUGGGCUGAGAUACGGCCCAAACUCCUACGGGAGGCAGCAGUGGGGAAUAUUGCACAAGGGGGGAAACCCUGAUGCAGAAACGCCGCGUGCGGGAUGACGGCCUUCGGGUUGUAAACCGCUUUCAGCCAUGACGCGUUACUCGCAGAAGAAGCACCGGCUAACGCCGUGCCAGCAGCCGCGGUAAUAC
rnacentral:rRNA from 1 species